AAGUCGAACGAAGUAGCAAUACUUAGUGGCAGACGGGUGAGUAACAUGUGGGUAUCUGCCCUUUGGCCUGGAAUAACACGAGGAAACUUGUGCUAAUACCGGAUAAGUCUUUACAGAGAAAGCUUUAUGCACCAUUGGAUGAGCCCGCACUUGAUUAGUUUGUUGGUGGGGUAAUGGCCUACCAAGGCUUUGAUCAAUAGCUGAUUCGAGAGGAUGAUCAGCCACAUUGGGACUGAGACACGGCCCAAACUCCUACGGGAGGCAGCAGUGGGGAAUCUUGCACAAUGGAGGAAACUCUGAUGCAGCGAUGCCGCGUGAGUGAAGAAGGCCCUUGGGUUGUAAAGCUCUUUCGUCGGGGAAGAAAAUGACUGUACCCGAAUAAGAAGGUCCGGCUAACUUCGUGCCAGCAGCCGCGGUAAUACGAAGGGACCUAGCGUAGUUCGGAAUUACUGGGCUUAAAGAGUUCGUAGGUGGUUGAAAAAGUUGGUGGUGAAAUCCCAGAGCUUAACUCUGGAACUGCCAUCAAAACUUUUCAGCUAGAGUUUGAUAGAGGAAAGCAGAAUUUCUAGUGUAGAGGUGAAAUUCGUAGAUAUUAGAAAGAAUACCAAUUGCGAAGGCAGCUUUCUGGAUCAUUACUGACACUGAGGAACGAAAGCAUGGGUAGCGAAGAGGAUUAGAUACCCUCGUAGUCCAUGCCGUAACGAUGUGUGUUAGACGUUGGAAAUUUAUUUUCAGUGUCGCAGCGAAAGCGAUAAACACACCGCCUGGGGAGUACGACCGCAAGGUUAAAACUCAAAUGAAUUGACGGGGACCCGCACAAGUAGUGGAGCAUGUGGUUUAAUUCGAAGAUACGCGCAGAACCUUACCAACACUUGACAUGUUCGUCGCGACUUUAAGAGAUUAAAGUUUUCGGUUCGGCCGGACGAAACACAGGUGCUGCAUGGCUGUCGUCAGCUCGUGUCGUGAGAUGUUGGGUUAAGUCCCGCAACGAGCGCAACCCUCACUUUUA
rnacentral:rRNA from 1 species